GCCGCUUUGUAUACGAAGAGUCAGCAGGUACAGGCGGAGGCGAUGGUAAUAGUUAUCAACAGCCAGUCAGUUACAGAUGCAUUGCGAUAGAGACGUUGUUAUCUACGUCUCUGAUUGCGAACACAGAAUUAAACAACAUUGGUCAUAAUCUUACAUACAAGAGAUCAGCAGAGCAGGAAGAAGUUAUGUUGAUGCCCUGGCCAUUCUCUUCUUUAACAAAUCAGUCAUUGCAUCUGCACAUAUGACCAGAGAAAUGAAGGACUAUUGUGGAAACUCAACUAUCUGCCGAAGAACUUUAGUUAAACCGUAUUUUGGUUUUGAAACUAAGGAAGUCUAACAGUUUUCAAUUUGUUGUGAUUUGUGUAAUAAUGAACUGGGGAUAGAAUAUGAUUUUAGUAAACUGUCACCUAACUAAAAGCAUACAUAUUAUUAUAACAAGAUUCCUUGAUUAAUUGAA